AUAAUCCUCUUACGUUAGUCACACGUCUAGCCUUUUCAGGCGCCAUUUUGGUUUGGAUGUUAGAAACCGAUUUGAGGACCCAGCUGUCUUUAGUGAAGAGAUGAGCUUGGAGGGUAGUGAGAGUAGUUAACAAAAUCUUUGAGAAAGAGAAUUUCCAUCGUUAAUUAACUACAGGCACUAUCUCAUGUUCUUGACGGGUUUCCGUAUCCUCGAAUGGAUAGAAUCUUCACCAGGUUCGGGAAUGUAAGGCCGCGGGGUCCGGUCCCUCGUCUCUCCCAUCGACAGUCGCAAUGUUGACUUUCUUGGCAAACGCCACUGGCUGUGGGCGAUUCCCCACCACUAUCCCAUCGCACUCCAGAAAACAUAUCACCAAAACCUUGUGAAUCGAUCACGGACAAAGAGGCUUAUCUAAUAUACGAGCGGACGGGGCUAUCCUUGAACGAAAUCAAAAAGUAUGGGUGUCUCACAUUGGAUAGAGUCGCAGUGGUAACCAUUUGGAGGCUUUCAGAUAAUGAUCUAUGAAGGAUUGCCAUCGGGAGGACUGACCAGGUCCCAGAUAAUACACGAAUUGAUUUCCGUACAUGAUAUUUUAAGGGCCAGUCAUGGAGAGCUCGAUUGUGACAACGUCUUCGUUAACGAGUAUGUUCGUGCUCGACGCGCCCAAGACGCAAUGCACCUUGCAAUAGAUAGCACUCUCGACGGCAUACCACACACUGUAGUAUUCACAACGUAGCCGAUCGGGGGGACUAAUAUUUAUCAAGUUAGUCUGUCUAUUAGUAGAUUGACUCAGCCAAUCAAAUCACGCUGUAAAAAUUGUAUACGCAUUCAAAAUUCGAUCUACCAACGCCACAUACUACAUACUACCAGGCCUUCGGUGGUUGGCACAACAUUUUCUGGCAACAGCCGCCAUCUGCGUCGC
rnacentral:lncRNA from 1 species